CGUGGCGAAGACCAAAGUUUCCUGUAGCAUGGUUGUGUUUCCUCUCUGGUCAAUGCCAUCCGCCCAAAUCUACAGACAUCCCGCGUGUUCCCGGGCUGACUGCUGGUCUCCCCAGUCCAGGGCGCCAAGGCACAGCCCUCUUGGAGACGGAUGGAAGCUCCUUGGGUCGACAGCUUCUGCAGCAGCCGGAGUCCCCUACUCCCUUCAAGCCCGUGGUGGGCGUCCACUGUCCGGGGAGAGGAUGCCUGGAAAUAAUAGCUUGGAUCUACAGUGGCCGUAAGAGAUGUCUCCAUCCUGAUGGACCACGGUGCUCCUGAGAGAGGAUUGUGCCCUGAGAUCUGGGGUGCAGUUUCUUCAGUUAGAGUUGGAAGUGUGUAAGGGUCAGGAGAGACGGUACACUCCAGAGUGCCAUGCCCUGAUGUGCCUUUGAGCAGCCAGCACCUCGGAUCAUCAGACCUGUCUGCCAAGAGCUCUGGUCUCUUCUCCAGAGAAGAAGUGGAUCCACUGGCUCAUAUACUCAGGAGGCCAUAGCAGGAUUGUCAGUUGAUCUCUGCCAUGUGUGCUCAACAGUUCUUGGCUUUCCAGAAGAAGCUGGAACAGGGCCCUUGAAGAUGAUUGUGGACACCAGAGGGCCAGGGAGUGGACAAGAAAGAAGACCAUGCUCAAAGUGAAACUGGAGAUACCGCCCCCAGCAUCAUGAAACAGCUUUUUACUUUAGGCAUUGGCUCAGGCAUGGAAGACUCCAGCAUACAAAGUCUUGACACCAGCCUCCCUGUGACCAUCUGCCAGUGCCUGGAAUGACUAGUGACAAGAACUUGUUGCCAACUUCCUGUUACCUCCCUAACAGCUGUGCAAUAAACCUCAGUUAAUUCAGUCUGCCUUUUAAA